rnacentral:rRNA from 1 species
GACGAACGCUAGCGGCAGGCCUAAUACAUGCAAGCUGAACGGUAAAUGUUGUAGCAAUACAAUAUGAGAGUAGCGUAAGGGUGCGUAACACGUAUGCAAUCUACCCGCAACAGGAGGAUAGCUCCCCGAAAGGGGAAUUAAUACUCCAUAAGAUCACGAGAAGGCAUCUGAUUGUGAUUAAACUCCAAGGGGUUGCGGAUGAGCAUGCGCAUGAUUAGUUAGUUGGCGGGGUAACGGCCCACCAAGACGAUGAUCAUUAGGGGAACUGAGAGGUUGAUCCCCCACACUGGCACUGAGAUACGGGCCAGACUCCUACGGGAGGCAGCAGUAGGGAAUAUUGGUCAAUGGGUGAAAGCCUGAACCAGCCAUGCCGCGUGCAGGAAGAAAGCCUUCUGGGUUGUAAACUGCUUUUAUCUGGGGAUAAAAUACCCGUGCGCGGGGAAUUGAAGGUACCAGAUGAAUAAGCCACGGCUAACUACGUGCCAGCCGCCGCCGUAACAC